CACUGGAAGGGGGAUGCAAAAAGCCAGGACUGUUGAGGGAGUCUUUCUGCAACCAGUGGGGUUCGUAAGGAAGAACUGUUCUGGGUAGGGUUUGGGUGCCUUUUUGUGAAAGUUCUAGGGCUCGCCAGGUGUGACAGCUAGGAAAGGAGAAGUUCAUAACUGCAGCUUUGUUUCCUCUUCAGGAAUUGCUUCAGCCUCGGUAAAAGUGGAAUUAUGCAUAUCAUGAAUGAAACUUUUACUUAAGAAGACAUUGUUCUGCUCCUGGUUGGUUUGUUUAUGGUGGCCUAUCUUAUAACAUUCCGUAUUCUCUUUGCGUAGACAUAUUGGAAGUCUUUUUACUCUACGGGUGCAGCCAAGCAAAAAGGUAUUCGAUUCUGUGAUAGAUGCCAGCUAAUAAAACCCGAUCGUUGUCACCAUUGUUCCGUUUGUGCUAUAUGCGUGCUAAAAAUGGAUCAUCACUGUCCGUGGGUGAAUAACUGCAUUGGAUUUUCUAACUACAAAUUCUUCCUGCUGUUCUUAGCCUAUGCUUUGUUGUAUUGCUUGUAUAUUGCCGCAACAGUCUUCAAGUAUUUCAUUAAGUACUGGACAGGUGAACUGACUAAUGGACGUUCCAAAUUUCAUGUCCUUUUCCUUCUCUUUGUGGCAGUCAUCUUCUUCAUAACCUGGUGGCAGCUGUCGGCACCAUGCCCUGCCAGAACCAGCAUCUCAGCCCGUGCCCUCAGGACGAGCAGCCAGCGGCGGCACCUGGCCAAGCCCCUUGAUGGAGCUGGGCAUUCUCUGAAUGCUGAUUUUCUCUAAUCCUGAUUUUUAACCAAGCACUGAAACAUCUACAAUUCAAACUGUUAAUUAGGUGACUCUGCAUGGCCAGUCAUAAACAUCAAUAUAUCAGACUUCAACUGUCUGCUACGUGUUGCUAGUUAAUUCUUCUAGUCCCCUGUGGACAAGAAAAUAUACUAAAGGUAAGGGAAGCAAGAUAACACAGAGAUUGGGACAUUUAACAAAAGAUGGGAAGAGAAUGCAUUUGUGCUGCAACAACAAAAAAGCUUCUAAGCAUUUUCUUGAGUAUCGUCCUUCAUCUCUAAAAGUAAUUUCUCACUACGGUACCGAAAGACUCAAUGCAUAGUGUAGACAAAUCUACUUAAUGCAAUAAUUCCCUAAAUACAAGUACUCAAAGGGUCUAGCUGUAAAUAAAGUCAUACCCUCUGUGUUUUCACUAGUUGACAAUUGUUAUAAACUCCCUGUGAUCCCUCAGCCUGCAGGCACCUUCUCCACUGCCUUGCUGGAUACUAAGGAGCUUCCACCGAAUUUAACCACAGGAAGACAUCCUGUCCACAUCAACACCUACUACCAGCCCUAAAAUUGGGUUGUGAAGCGUGGAGAUAGGCCCAUUGAUCUUUUUCACCCCUUGUAAAAACUGGAAGUCACACCAAGCACUGUAAAAUACAGCAAUAAGCUGAUCUUGAGGACCAUCGUAUCACGCCCAUACCAGGGAAUUCUCUUAGUGUUUACCAAAUAAAUAACUUGACACCAUUCCUAAUGCAAGAUAGAGAGAAGGUAAAAAUGAAGGAAGAAACUAUAUAUGGAAGUCCAUGUAUUAACAACAUAGUUACUAUAUUUAGAAGCAGGCAUGAAGCAUUAUAUUAAGGAUAUACUUAUAGCUAGGUAUGCUUUAGGCCAGCUGCCCUCAACUUUGUAUUCAGACCUUUCAAGAUUUUCCUGAGAUUUGUACCUUUGCAUUCAUAACUCAUUUUAACAUUCCCCGUGAAGUGUGUGCCCCAACCCUAACUUUAGAAAUGCUUUUUUCCUUGGACGGAGUGAGUUGGAACCAUCUUCUGUCCACAGAGUAAAGGGGAUUGCUUACUAUUUCUCCCGGUACCUCAACAGAAAGCAUUCACAAACCUAUUAGCAAUAUACCUAUUAUCUGUUAGCAAUGCUGCCUCCACUUGGGUACAUUCUUUGCACAGUGAAGCUGGUUUCACACAAGCAUGCAAGCUGCCAGCUCUACUUCUUACCAGACUACAAAUAAGCAUGUGGCUUGUUACUGUUUCUUGAUCAGGAUUAAAUGCAGUCAUAAUCAAACAUAUUCAGGAUGAGAAAGGGUUUAUAAGGAACAAUAUCAACCUCAGCUUUGAGUAUUCUGUGAUAAAAAAUGAUGCUU